UGGAGUACAGAGGGAGAGGGUUCUAAGGUGGGGUUGGGGGGGUCAGGCACUGGCAUGGGACUGGGGAUGAUGGGUUUGGGGUGCAGAAGAGGAUGCAGACUCCGGGAGGAAGUUUGGGUGCAGGAGGGGGCUCAGGGCUGAGGCCAUGGUGCGAGAAGGGGUGUGGGCCAUGAGCCUCGGUCGGCUCACCGGAAGUGGCAACAAGUGCCCGGUGGAGGGGUAGCCAGGGGGCUCGGUGUGCUGCCUCCAUUUGCAGGCACUGUUUUCGUUGGCUGUGGUUCCUGGACAGUGGGAGCUGUGGGGGCAGUGCAUACAGUUCCCCAGGCCAUGCCUAGGCGUUGAGGGACUUGUCACUGCUUCUGGGGAGCCGCACAGAGCCCUGCCAACCAGAUCUUUAAGGAGCCGCUAGGGUUCCUUUUUAACCAGGUGUUCUGGUCGAAAACCGGAGGCCUGGCAACCCUAGUGUGCUCACAGUUCCCAUGGGAGUGUCUGGUGCCUGAUUUUGCUGGGGGAGAAGGCGGGAGGGAUAGGCACAAAGCUGCCACCCUUGGGAUGUUGGAGAGACUAGGUGGGCUAGGGAAAAUCUCGCUUAUUGGACCAACUUCUGUCAGUGAGAGAGGCGAGCAGAGAGAGCUGUGACAGUGCAUUUUCCAGGCCUGAAGAGCUCUGUGUCACUCAAAAGCGUGUCUCACUCACCAACAGAAGUUGGUCCAAUAAAAGAUAUUGUCCUUCACCUACUUUGUCUCUAAUAUCCUGUGACCAAAAGGGCUACAACACCAUUGCAUAUAACCCUUUGGAGGCUGACACCUACAAACUCACCCUGUUCAGCUCUCAGCCUUGCUUCCAGUCUCUGCAUUUCAUAUAUGAGCAAGCCCUUCCCUCCGAACCUCCCUGACAAGAGGGGUGUGGCAAAGAGAUGGGACCAGUGUGAAGGAAUGGAAGAGAGACCUAGGGACCGUAGAAAUGAGUGAGGCAAAAGGGGCAAAAUGAGUGGUACGUGGACUUCUGCUUGGUUGGAAAGCUGCUACUCUCCUUCCUCCUGGCACAAGGACGGCUGCCCAGUUUUCCCCAAUACAUGGCAGCAACCCAGAGAAAGAAGCAGCCAUGAGACAGAAGAGCUGCUGGGAGCUGUGAAAUAAGGAAUGCUGCUACAUGGCUGGCAAUCAUGGGGAUGCCAAAAGCUUUGGUGGUGUAAUAAGAUCACCGAUGAUGGACACAGACUGAACAUCCAGCCAGCCUUAAAGACCUGUCCAAAGAUUGAUCCAGGUGGCACUCAAUCUGGAAGGAAUGUACUUUCUUUUGGGAUUUGCCAUGAUGAUGAUGAUGAUGAUGAUAUCUUCCAGUGGCCUUUUAGAGUUUGCUAGUUCUUCCUUAUGUAUACCUCUGAAGAUUUCCCAAGACAUCAGUCCUGAGCAGGGCUCCUUUUUAUUCAUGAUUCACAAAUGUUUAUGUAAAGGGCUUUUUUAAUUUGCAUGAACAUAUGGGGAAUGGCUGUUCUUGGCAAACAAGGUUAUUCACUCUUCAGCACUGUUACUGAGAUGUUUCACUCAUCCAACUGAGAUGCACAAAUGAUACCAUGUGAUUUAAAUGACUACUCACAUUCCAAGAAUAAUGAAUAGUGAAUAAUAAACUAAACAGUUGAAGUCAACAGUUCAUGAACACCCUUUAGGCUGAAAACUGGCCAAACUUAUAGAGCAGAUACUUGCAAAUAAACAAAACCUUGUGCAGAAA